GGGGGUGAACGGUCUCGACGGGAAUGCGGAAGUCCGGCGGCAAGCGGAGUUUCUGCCAUCUCCUGCAAAUGGCAGAUCUACCAAUAAAUGCCGACAAUCUGGCAUUCGCUGUCCCCUCUUAUAACUAACUGAGGGGCCGUCCCUGAGGCCCUCGCCCGUGGGGCCUUAGGGGCGUCGACUGAAACGGGCUGGCCUCUUCCCUUCAGCCCGGAAGGGAUGGGGGACGAAACUGAAGGGCUCGGGCCGGAAGAUCCUGUCCCAUGGGAGCUUUCGGCCUCAGAAUAGAGCAUGGGACUAAGCUUGUAGAAGUCGGGUGGAAGCAUUUUCGGACCGGGGUUCGAUUCCCCGCACCUCCACCA
rnacentral:tmRNA from 1 species